rnacentral:misc_RNA from 1 species
AUCACGUCGCCCCCACCAAGCCCACCUCUUUGGAGGGAGGCGUUGGAAUGGGGCGGAGAUUGGUCUCCCGUGCUUUAGUGCGGUUGGCCUAAAUGGGAGCCUCCUCAAGAGUGACGCACGGCUAGUGGUGGUUGUUAUGACUGUCGUCUCUUUGCUGUGCGUUUUGAUUCUUGGGGUAAAAGCUCUUAAAUCACCCUGACCCGUUGUCUUUUGAUGACGAUUCGA